rnacentral:rRNA from 1 species
AUUGAACGCUGGCGGCAUGCCUUACACAUGCAAGUCGAACGGUAACAGGUCUUCGGAUGCUGACGAGUGGCGAACGGGUGAGUAAUACGUCGGAACGUGCCUAGUAAUGGGGGAUAACUACUCGAAAGAGUGGCUAAUACCGCAUGAGAUCUACGGAUGAAAGCAGGGGAUCGCAAGACCUUGUGCUACUAGAGCGGCCGAUGGCAGAUUAGGAAGUUGGUGGGAUAAAAGCUUACCAAGCCGACGAUCUGUAGCUGGUCUGAGAGGACGAUCAGCCACACUGGGACUAGGACACGGCCCAGACUCCUACGGGAGGCAGCAGUGGGGAAUUUUGGAUAAUGGGCGCAAGCCUGAUCCAGGAAUGCCGCGUGCAGGAUGAAGGCCUUCGGGUUGUAAACUGCUUUUGUACGGAACGAAAAGCCCCGGGUUAAUACCCUGGGGUCAUGACGGUACCGUAAGAAUAAGCACCGGCUAACUACGUGCCAGCCGCCGCAGUAA